AAAGGUUUGGUCCUAGCCUUGAAGUCAGUUCUUACUUAAUAUACACAUGCAAGUCUCCGCACCCCGGUGAAAACGCCCUUAAAUCCCCCCUAGGGAUUAGGAGCCGGUAUCAGGCACACUUUGCCCAAAACACCUAGCCCAGCCACACCCACAAGGGAUUUCAGCAGUGAUAAACAUUGAUUAUAAGCGACAGCUUGAUUCAGUUAAAUUAAAUAGAGCCGGCCAAUUUGGUGCCAGCCGCCGCGGUUACACCAGAAGCUCAAAUUGACCUCAAUCGGCGUAAAGCGUGAUUAAAGUGAUUUUUACCCUGGAAUUAAACUAAAACUAAGCCGUGAUACGCUUGUUACCUAAGAAAAUCAAAAACGAAAGUUAUUCCAACUUAACCAACUUGAAUUCACGACAACUGAGAAACAAACUGGGAUUAGAUACCCCACUAUGCUCAGUCGUAAACUCUAACUUACACCCCACACGCCCGGGAACUACGAGCUAAGCUUAAAACCCAAAGGACUUGACGGUACCCCACAUCCACCUAGAGGAGCCUGUCCUAUAAUCGAUAACCCACGUUUUACCUCACCACUUUUAGCCUACUCAGCCUGUAUACCUCCGUCGUCAGCUUACCACGUGAGCGUCAGUAAGCCUAAUAUUAAUCCAAUAAUACGUCAGGUCAAGGUGCAACUUAUGAAGUGGGAAGAGAUGGGCUACACUCUCUAACCUAGACUACACGAAAGACUUUAUGAAAACAAGUCAGAAGGCGGAUUUAGUAGUAAAUAGAAACUAGAAUAUUCUUUUCAACUCGGCACUGGGGUGUGUACACACCGCCCGUCACCCUCCUCAAACGCUAUAAACAGUUCUUAACAAAAUUCAGCAUUUUUAGAAGAGGUAAGUCGUAACAUGGUAAGUAUACCGGAAGGUGUGCUUGGAAUCAA
rnacentral:ncRNA from 1 species